rnacentral:rRNA from 1 species
UACGUAGGGGGCAAGCGUUGUCCGGAUUUAUUGGGCGUAAAGAGUGUGUAGGCGGCCAAGCAGGUCCGCUGUGAAAACUCGAGGCUCAACCUCGAGACGUCGGUGGAAACCGUUUGGCUAGAGUCCGGAAGAGGAGAGUGGAAUUCCCGGUGUAGCGGUGAAAUGCGCAGAUAUCGGGAAGAACACCCGUGGCGAAGGCGGCUCUCUGGGACGGUACUGACGCUGAGACGCGAAAGCGUGGGGAGCGAACAGG